rnacentral:lncRNA from 1 species
AAAUCUGCUCUCUGCAUUCCCUCAGCACAGAAGAACCUGGUUUGGUGCUUUGCCGUUCAUUAUACGUUACCUUUACAUAGGUGGUUUCACAUAUAUUCGUCUUCAAUUGGUUGCAUAUUGUGGGUCUGCAUUCAUUUGCAUGUUUUACAAGAGUUUGACCUGCGACUCAACAUACCACGGGAUGUAACUGAAGUGGUAAAAUGGCCCAGCUGUUUCUUUUCCAGACACAGAAGAUCGACAAGAGGGUUUGGAGAACCUAAAAGUUGGCCAAGCCACCAGACAGAAGGAGACUGGGGCUCUGAAUCUCUGCGCAAUGGCCUUCAUCGAACAUCUGAUUGGUCUGUGACCUGAGAAAGGAAUGAAGGUUUUACCAUGUUACGUCACUGAAAUUUGAGGGCUGUUGGUAAAGCCGUUAAAAAACUUUGACUAAUAUAAACUCAAAUUGUGGGCAAAGUACUUAAUCUCUCCUUGUCUUAAUUCCCCCAUCUAUUAAAUGAAAACAAUAAUAGCAUCUACCUCCUUGGACCUUUGUGUGGACUGAAUAAGCUUGUAUUUGAAAACACUUAGAUUAGUGCCUACCUAACUGGGUAACUAUUACAUCCAUGAAAACCUGUUUGUCCUGUGGCGCACUGCUACAAAGGCUGACUCAAAGUUCUGAUAAUGGCUUGUGGCACUGCUCUCCUCAAAGAACCAUUUAUAUAAUGGGCUCUCUCAGCAUUUUAACCCAAGUGAGAGGCUAAAAGUGGAGAUUUCUCUAGGUCGUAAGCCCUGUCUGGAUAGUGUUGUCCAAUAAAACUUUCUUCAAUGAUGGAAGUAUUCUAUGU